rnacentral:RNase_P_RNA from 2 species
AAAGCGGGCCAGGCGGUCGCUCUCGCAUUUAGCGAGGGAGGAAAGUCCGGGCUCCGCAGGACGCAGUGGUCGCCAGCAGCGACCGUCCCUGAAGUCAUUAAGACUUCGGGGAUAGGGAAAGUGCCACAGAAAACAUACCGCCCUCUGCCACUGGCUGAGGGUAAGGGUGAAAAGGUGCGGUAAGAGCGCACCGCCCGCCAGAGCGAUCUGGCGCCCAUACGGGCGGCUGUACGGCCGGGGCACGGUAAACCCCACUGGGAGAAAGGCCAAACAGAGGGGAUGAGGUGGUCCGUCUCGUUUGACCCUUGGGUAGGCCGUUAGAGGGGGUCGGCAACGACCCUCCCAGAGAAAUGACCGCCAUCCGGCAUUUGCCGGACACAGAACCCGGCUUAUGGCCUGCUUUAUCU